rnacentral:lncRNA from 1 species
GUGCUUUUCAAAAACUGAGAAUGUGACCCUGACAACUUAAAAUCUAAAGUAUAUUGAAAGUACAUACAAGUUAGAGGUUCUGCUGCCUCAGAUGCCUUUAACAAAUUUUCUUACUUUGAAAUACACUUCCUUAUUUAAAAAUUAUUUUUUCUCUUUGUUGCUCUAUCAGAAGUCAACCCACAGAAGUGUAGGAAAAUGAAUAUGGAAAUAACUGUAUGAAAGAAAUUAUGAAACCUGUUUAUCUGCAGUGUUCUGCCAAAUGAACAAUCAGAAAAUGUGAUUUUUUUUUUCUCCCUGUGGCUUUUCCAGUUACAAGAAUUUGGAAAAGGUGAGAGCCAAGUUCAAAUGCCAGCCUGAACCUGAUAUUCAAGAAAUUCAAGGCAAUGGCUCUUGUGAGAAGCUCACGUAUCAGGCUUAUGCAAGACUCCUCCAGAAAGUGCCAAGUUUCUGCCAAGGGAGACAGUGUGAGCUCCAGGAUGCCUCCGCAGCCAAAGCCAACGUGCAAGGAGGGCAAUCCCCCUCCAGCAGUCACAUCUGGUGAAAUCAGACCAACUUUCAGACACCGGGCAACUUCUCUUAGAAGUUUCAACAGAAAUGGAUCUUCUGAAAGAAAGAGAGAGAAGAGUGAGAAGAUGGGAAUCCUUUUCCUUUCACAUAUGAGGCAGCAUGGAGAAGACCCUUAA